CUAUCUACCCAAAUCUUAUAAAAACAGCCCAUCCCAUCUCCCUUCACUGACUCUCUUUUUGGACUCAGCUCGCCUGCACCCAGGUGAUUAAAAAGCUUUAUUGCUCACACAAAGCCUGUUUGGUGGUCUCUUCACAUGGACGCGAGUGACAUUUGGUGCCGUGACUCGGAUCGGGGAACCUCCCUUGGGAGAUCAAUCCCCUGUCCUCCUGCUCUUUGUUCCAAGAGAAAGAUCCACCUACGACCUCUGCUCCUCAGACCAACCAGCCCAAGGAACAUCUCACCAAUUUUAAAUCGGGCUCUAGGGGAUGGUAGAGUCACAGGAUGGAAGAACUCUGUGUCCUUGAAUCAUUGCAUGGAAGAGAACUGGAAGUUGCCCAGGAACACCAGCCUUGGACAGUUAUGUGAACAAGAAAUAAACUUCUUUUACAGUGUCAUUUAUGUUUUUGAGCAUCUUUGUUACAGCGGCUAGGUGUAUACUAAUUCAGGGAUUCUGUGAUAGCAAUAUUUCUUCUUCUUUUGAGUAGGUUUCCAAAACUUGAUUUUCCACAAUUCUGAAAUAUUUUGGUUCUGGGAUAAACUUUUCUACUCUUUUGGCAGCACAAAGAUCCCUUUGUACAGAGGCACUGAUUUGUCUUCUUCUGGAGUAGCAUCCCAGUUUCUCACUGUGGCCAACAAAGCGAAUAAAAAGAAAAAAAGGAUCUGAAAUAGCAAUCCAGCGGCAGCCACCAAUACCUGAUAAUACUAUAGUCAAAGCUCCACAUUAGAGAACAGACCACUUUCAGGUGAGUGGCCCCUGGCCCUAGAAGUAAGUGGUAUUCAAAGAUGGUAAAUGGUAUGGGUGGCAGUAGAAGGUAGUA
rnacentral:lncRNA from 1 species